AUUGUGUCUGAGGGAUGUGUGUACUGUGUACUUGUAUUCUGUGUGUCUUAUUUCUAUCUAUGCAUAUUUGUGUGCAGUUAGUGUGUAAUUACUAAAGUGCCUGUGUAUGUAAGUACUUAUGUACUGUAUGGACUUCACAGAAUAUGUGAAGUUGAAUGUGUGUAAUUUGGGUUUGUGUGCAUGUGUUGUGUGGGUAUAUGUGUGUGUGGCUUACUGUGUGUGUAAUGAUUAUAUAUAAUGUGUAUAAUUAUGUUGAUAAUGUCAAGGCUUGAUGUGUGUUGUUGUGAGUUUAUUUUGGGGGAAGUUUAUGGAAUAGUUGUGCUGUUUGUAGUGUAUGUUAAAUAUAGAAUGCACCGGUGCAUAGAUGUGUGAAUUUGUGUUUGUAUGUGUGUGUUUAUUAAUGAACGGCUGUAUAUGAAUGAGAGUGCAUGAGUGUAUAAGCCUCAUGAUGCCCCAGGGGCAGUGACAGUGUGGCCCCUAUUGUGUCCCUCUGAACUGCCAAGUCAAUGCAAUCUUUAACCACUGGCUUGUGGUCCUGUGGAAAUCACAAGGGGUUGUCAGAGUUGGCUCCUCUGCAAACUGUACAAGUGCUAAAUCAGAGCAUAUGCUGCUGAGACAGAAAACGCUGAAGAUUGGAGUAAGUACAGUAUCUGCGCGCCCCCUAGCGUAAGGCUCUAGCCAGCCUGCCACCAAACCUGCAACGAGUGGGGGGGAAAAAAAAAAUAUCUCAAUUACUUUUUUGGCUGCCUCCUGCGAGCGCGACCAAGAAACUUUCUACGAAUAUUAAUGUGAUUAAGGAUCAGCGACGAAGCUGAAUGACUGGAGCGCUCCAGCGUCAGGGCGCGCUUUGUCCAUCUUGCGGCGUCAUUGCUGCGGAUCCAGGGCUGUGUGUUGUGUGACUGAGACAAGCAGUGCGGCCACUGGAUACGAUUAGAAGCCAUGGCACAUCAGCAGAAGCACACAAUGCCGUCCGGACACAAGGAGAAGCGGAGACAAGAGCUGAGAGAGCUUCAUGCCUAAGGAUGCUGGGGGAGCCCAUGACAAACAGCAGCAGGGGGGACCCAAGUUGGAUAUACCUGCCAUUGCUUCAAAAGACUAGACCAUCAACGAUAAGUCCUGGGCAAACCACCAGCAGCUGAAUUAAAACUGACCAACAUCGGCCAGCAGCAAUUACAUAUUUCCACUUGGAAAUCAUGGGACUUUUAUCAACUUCCUGCCAAAUUUCAGCACUUAAUCAAUGGUACAGGCCUUCCCUGCUGACAGAAUGGAACAGGAAGACUGAAAGAUAGGCAAAUUUUUUUUCGAUUCAAGCAAAAUCAGCACAGGGCUCAAUGAAACAUAUUUCCACGCUGGUUUCUCGCUGCUACGCUGAAGACUAUCGCAGAACGGAAAUACUGAAGGUCGGCGUCUAAAGCGAGAGCAAGAUACACGAUUAUAAAAAUGGAUUCCACGUAUCUCACCAACAGACAGUAAGAAACACGUCACUUUUUAGCCAAGAUAUCCCCAGCAUGAGUGUAUUGUGGAUCCCUGCAUUCCAGCUGUGGUUUGGCGACUUCUAUUCCGGUCCUGGCGCUUUCUCUUGACACCACCAUGCAUUUGGAAAGCACUAAAGUAUUAAUCCGACAUAUGGAAGUGUGUCGCCUACCUGAACAGGACUUGUACCUAAGACAGAACCCUGCUAUAAGAUGAAAGGAGAUUAUUCAAUGAUCUAUAGUGAGGAUUCCUGUGUUCCUGGAGUGCAUAGAAAAAGCAGACUAUGACUUGCCUCUGGAAGAUCAAGGUCAACAGCCACAUCCACAUAAAAGAGAAAUGAAGAACUGAAAGCUUUGCAGGUCUUUACAUGAUUUCUACCUCCCAGAUUGCUUUAGCAGUUCACGGAAUGGAGACUCGUUUAAAGGCGAAGAAAACAACUUUCAUGCAGAAAACGCACAUUUUAAAAAUGUACUUUGGUACUUACUGUGAUAGGGGGCAGGCCACACCCCUCUGGAAAUGGGAAUAAUCAAACACACGACUCUGUUAUAAACACCGGGGUUACAGUUAUGUGCCAGGCAAGGAUUUGUGUGUUGUAGUCAAGCUCUAUAUGUUUUAAAUUAAAAUAACUUACUCAAGGUCACCCAAGGCAUAUGGUCCUGCUCAGAACAUUAAACAAAACAUUCGUUUUUACAACCUUUUGUAAUUUGGGAUUGUAUACAACAAGGGCCUUUAGCCGAGUUUCUGUAAUCUUUUCACUGGGUGACAGAAAUAUGAGAAUCAAAUUUUAAAACCAUUUAGGGAAACUUUCAAUCGAUUUCAUGCAUCGGGAUGAACAGCGAUGGGUCCCGCUUAAUCCGGCUGUGUUUGGUCUUUGUUUUUCCUUUUAAACAAACCAUUCAGAACUGAAAAGAAAAAGAGAUUUACUCCAAGGGUCAUUUAAUUUACUUCUUAAAUCUGUUUCAGCUUUGAAUUCUCCCAGUAACAGUAAUCUGAAUGCUGCAUCAGAAACACAAAAG